UACAGAGGUCCCGAGCGUUGUUCGGAUUCAUUGGGCGUAAGGGUGCGUAGGCGGUCUGCUAAGUUUGGUGUGAAUCCCGGGGCUCAACCCUGGAAUUGCAUUGAAUACUGGUGGACUAGAGUACUGGAGAGGAAACUGGAAUUUACGGUGUAGCAGUGAAAUGCGUAGAGAUCGUAAGGAAGACCAGUGGCGAAGGCGAGUUUCGUGGACAG
rnacentral:rRNA from 1 species